UACGGGGGGGGCAAGCGUUGUUCGGAAUUACUGGGCGUAAAGGGUUCGUAGGUGGCCAACUAAGUCAGACGUGAAAUCCCUCAGCUUAACUGGGGAACUGCGUCUGAUACUGGUCUGGCUUGAGUGCAGGAGAGGAACGCGGAAUUCCAGGUGUAGCGGUGAAAUGCGUAGAUAUCUGGAGGAAUACCGGUGGCGAAGGCGGCAUCCUGGACCAUAACUGACGCUGAGGCGCGAAAGCUAGGGGAGCAAACGGG
rnacentral:rRNA from 1 species